GGUUCGGUAGCUCAGUUGGUAGAGCAACGGACUGAAAAUCCGUGUGUCGGCGGUUCGAACCCGCCCCGAACCA
rnacentral:tRNA from 3 species